UGGCGGACGGGUGAGUAAUGUCUGGGAAACUGCCCGAUGGAGGGGGAUAACUACUGGAAACGGUAGCUAAUACCGCAUAACGUCGCAAGACCAAAGAGGGGGACCUUCGGGCCUCUUGCCAUCGGAUGUGCCCAGAUGGGAUUAGCUAGUAGGUGGGGUAACGGCUCACCUAGGCGACGAUCCCUAGCUGGUCUGAGAGGAUGACCAGCCAUACUGGAACUGAGACACGGUCCAG
rnacentral:rRNA from 1 species